rnacentral:lncRNA from 1 species
CUGAGACCCAGUGGAACUGUUGCCCUGGACGACGGCUUAUUUCCUUCUGGCUCUGACAACACUCAUCUGGAGGUGUGCCCCUUACGGUGUUCUGCUGCCGACAAAGCGGUUCUGGAAUCCGCAGUGAGUGGCCACUCGAGAGCCAGGACCGAGCCUCGCCGCUAGGGGGAGUUCAGCUCGUAGGACCGGAAGUGCAAUUUAAUUUCUCAAACCUGGAAACCACAGAGGAGCUCAAAGUGUUUAUUGCAAGACUGGUGGAUCAUCCAGUUUCCCCUUUUGCAGAUGAAGAAACUGAGGUCCACCAAGGUUGGAGGACGUGUUGCCCAAUGUCACCCAGGACAUCAGGGCAGAACUGGGACUUGCCCUCAAGCUGAGUGUCCGUCCCAUCCCCGGGCAUCUCUGCCUUCUUGACACAGGAAAACCAAGUUUCUCGGCAGGGGGUGUGCACGAGAUAGUCCAGCCCGAGGCGGGUGCCAUAGAAGCCCUGCCCCCCACCGGCCCUGCUGGAAAGUUUCCAUUUCAGGGUUUGCCUUCUUCAUAGCAGUGUCUCAAACCCCUUAGUCCUUUAGACAAAAUAAUAAUGAUAACAAUCAUAACAAUAACAGUUGCAUAAGCCGAGCUGUGGUGGGGAACAGGAUUUACAAUUCGGAUUGUUUUCAGAAAACACCUCUGUAUUUAGCAAUAAUAUUAUGGAAGUAGCAAUAAAGUUAUCUGCUUCUCAUGAAGGGAAAGUGGGAGGACAACACAACUUUACAGAGUGCGCAAUACAGAACAAAGGGUCUGGGGGCCUCUGUCUGCCCUCAAGUUUUCAUCUACCACGUUCUGGCCGAAGAUAGAACGCCUCUCCUCGGCUUGUUCCCAGACACGUGCCCAGCUGCAUUUUUAGAGAGUGGUUUCGGGGGCGCCAGUGACCUGCAGCUUCCCUGAAGAUGUCAUGCGUCCUGUGGCUGUGCUCCCCCCCCCCCCCCCCCCCGCCCACUCAUGUGUGCUACCUGGUGAUUAGUCUUUGUUUCCUGCCUGGAAGUUGGCUUGAGAAGAAACUUGCUAAGAUAGGAAGGACACUGAGCACAUUAGGUUGGAAACAGCAAGAUGUGCACAGGGAUGGCCCUGCCGGUUUAUGGACAGCCCAUUAUGGCUGCUCCUGCCCUCUGAACCCAGGAAGGCCCAGAGGCCCAGGGCGGGUACACUACGAUGAAGACAGAAAAACAGACCCACAUAGAAAUCUCCAUGUCUUGGUGAAGGUAACUGCCCCAGGGAAUUCUAAGAAGGCCCCAUCCCCACAAGAGCUGGUAGAAAUAUGCCAGGGGUAGCCUCCGGUCAUCUAGGGUCUGCCCCACACACCUGCUUGGUGGGCUUCCUCUCCGCCUCGUCCAGUCCCAAUCCUGAGUCCUUCUCUGCAUCUUCCAGGCUGAACGAUGACAAUCCCAGUGUUGCCCUCUUCCAGACGUCAAGGGCUGCAGCAUAAACCAUCACAAACUUAGAAACCACAACAG